rnacentral:sRNA from 1 species
ACCGUCGAAAGGAGGUGAUCCGGAGCAUGUAUGCACACCGGACGUCGGAGGUGGCUGCGGGCUAGCGGCCCGCCACCACACUCAGUGCGGUGCCGGACCCGCGCGCGGGACACGCGUGCAGCCGGCCCAAUCCCAGCAGUCACCCGACCCGCGAGUCGCCGGUACGUCCGGCCGGCCCCUUCCUCUGGGAGGACCAGACUCGCGGGUCGUCUGCG